rnacentral:lncRNA from 1 species
GCCAAAAGGUCUAAUCAGAACUAGGAAUAUAGCAAAAUAAAAUUCGCUUCCUGAAUGCUUACCACCUGACUUUUUCUCCCCACUCAAUUCCAGAGCCCUGAGUGAGGACAUCCAGGAAUGACAGAGAAUGCACCUGGCUCCACUGUCUUUCAGUAUUUACUUGUUCAGUCUGCAACCUGAGCGCCCACUGAAUGCCUGCCGAUAAUAGAUGAUUUAGGAAAACUGUCUCACAGAAUGGAAAGGAAAAAAAUAAUGUGAGAUUCCUUUGUUUUCCCAUAUAUGAAGAUGAACCUCAAAUACCCAAGAAUCUGUAUUUCUAACAGUUCAGAGUUGAUGCCGAUGCUGCCAGG